GCUCUCAGAACAGUUACAGCGCUACCCGUGCAUUUACCUCCGGACCACAGGCGGCUGGAGCAAUAAUGUAUGCAAUGUUGUAGUGCCUUUCAUCUGUGUGAGGAGAACAGACACCUGCAGCUGAUCUGAACUAGAAACCUCUCAGCCUGAUGAAUGGUAUCUUGAAUAGGUGUUGGCACAGACAGGCUUAUUUGAUCUUUUGGAAAACAAUAAGCCUCAAUCUGUCGCACGAGCUGAAUGUUUUAUAAAAUUAUGAUUUGCUGAUUACUUACUGCUGUAUGUAUGAAACUACUGUCUUUCUUUCUUUCUUUGUUAAGAAGCCACAGGUCCAUUGCUGAUUUUUUUUUUUUUUACUAAAGAUUUUGAAGACAUAAAAGUAAUGUGUUUUGUAAUGUAAAAUAUGUGUAAUGAAUAAAGAUAUAUAUUGUGACAUA